rnacentral:rRNA from 1 species
AGUGAACGCUGGCGGCAGGCCUAACACAUGCAAGUCGAACGGCAGCACAAGAGAGCUUGCUCUCUGGGUGGCGAGUGGCGGACGGGUGAGGAAUGCAUCGGAAUCUGCCCAUUUGUGGGGGAUAACCUCGGGAAACCGGGACUAAUACCGCAUACGACCUACGGGUGAAAGCAGGGGAUCUUCGGACCUUGCGCAGAUGGAUGAGCCGAUGCCGGAUUAGCUAGUUGGAGGGGUAAAGGCCCACCAAGGCGACGAUCCGUAGCUGGUCUGAUAGGAUGAUCAGCCACACUGGGACUGAGACACGGCCCAGACUCCUACGGGAGGCAGCAGUGGGGAAUAUUGGACAAUGGGCGCAAGCCUGAUCCAGCCAUGCCGCGUGUGUGAAGAAGGCCUUCGGGUUGUAAAGCACUUUUGUUGGGAAAGAAAAGCAGCCGGUUAAUACCCGGUUGUCAUGACGGUACCCAAAGAAUAAGCACCGGCUAACUUCGUG